rnacentral:tRNA from 1 species
UCCCUGGUGGUCCAGUGGGUAGGAUUCAGCACUUUCACUCUGGUGGCCUAGGUUCAAUCCCUGGUCUGGGAA